GAUGAACGCUGGCGGCGUGCCUAAUACAUGCAAGUCGAGCGAACGGACGAGAAGCUUGCUUCUCUGAUGUUAGCGGCGGACGGGUGAGUAUCACGUGGAUAACCUACCUAUAAGACUGGGAUAACUUCGGGAAACCGGAGCUAAUACCGGAUGAUAUUUUGAACCGCAUGGUUCAAAAGUGAAAGACGGUCUUGCUGUCACUUAUAGAUGGAUCCGCGCUGCAUUAGCUAGUUGGUAAGGUAACGGCUUACCAAGGCAACGAUGCAUAGCCGACCUGAGAGGGUGAUCGGCCACACUGGAACUGAGACACGGUCCAGACUCCUACGGGAGGCAGCAGUAGGGAAUCUUCCGCAAUGGGCGAAAGCCUGACGGAGCAACGCCGCGUGAGUGAUGAAGGUCUUCGGAUCGUAAAACUCUGUUAUUAGGGAAGAACAUAUGUGUAAGUAACUGUGCACAUCUUGACGGUACCUAAUCAGAAAGCCACGGCUAACUACGUG
rnacentral:rRNA from 1 species